rnacentral:rRNA from 1 species
GAACGAACGUUAGUGGCGCGCUUAACACAUGCAAGUCGAACGAGAAAGGGCUCAGGCCCCGGUAAAGUGGCGCACGGGUGAGUAACACGUGGAUAAUUUCCCCUUAGGCGGGGGAUAACCUUCCGAAAGGAGGGCUAAUACCGCAUAAGACCACGUUUUCGCAAGAGAAUGAGGUAAAAGUUAGCCUCUAUAUAUAUGCUAACACCUGAGGAUAAGUCCGCGGCCCAUCAGCUAGUUGGUAGGGUAAUGGCCUACCAAGGCGAAGACGGGUAGCUGGUCUGAGAGGAUGAUCAGCCACACUGGAACUGAGACACGGUCCAGACUCCUACGGGAGGCAGCAGUGGGGAAUCUUGCGCAAUGGGCGAAAGCCUGACGCAGCGACGCCGCGUGAGUGAUGAAGGCCUUCGGGUUGUAAAGCUCUGUGGGAAAAGAAGAAUAAAUGCAAGCAAAUACCUUGCAUGAUGACGGUAUUUUCUUAGCAAGCACCGGCUAACUCUGUGCCAGCAGCCGCGGUAAGACAGAGGGUGCAAACGUUGUUCGGAAUUACUGGGCGUAAAGCGUGUGUAGGCAGCGAGAUAAGUCGGAUGUGAAAGCCCUAAGCUUAACUUAGGAAGUGCAUUCGAUACUGUUUCGCUAGAGUAUCGGAGAGGUUGGUGGAAUUCUCGGUGUAGAGGUGAAAUUCGUAGAUAUCGAGAGGAACAUCAGUGGCGAAGGCGGCCAACUGGACGAAUACUGACGCUGAGACACGAAAGCGUGGGGAGCAAACA